GCCAGCAUGGCCUUGUGGUUUGAGUGUUGGACUUGGACUCUGGAGACCAGGGUUCGAUUCCCAGCACAGCCA